AUGAAUUUGAUUAAUGCAAAUUUUGUGGAACCGGAUGUUAGUGUAAUAUGCAGGAUUCCGAUUAGUAAUUCAGCUGAGGAUAUUUGGGCUUGGCAACCAGAAAAACAUGGUCAUUUCACUGUGAAAUCGGCAUAUAGAGUUCUUCUCUCUAAAAGUCGUCAAACUUACCAGCCCGGGUCUAGCAUCAAUCGGGAGAAGGUAUGGAAGAAAAUGUGGAAACUUGAGGUCCCUCCCAAGGUGAAGAAUUUCUGGUGGCGUAUUAUCCAUGACUUUAUACCCUGUCGUGCUGUUUUGAAGCGACGACAUAUGGAACGUAUUGAUUUCUGUGACACUUGUGGUCAACAGGAAACUACAAUGCAUGCUAUCUUUGAUUGCACUUGGGCAAGGAUCUUCUGGGAGCAGGUGAAGUCCCUAACUGGCAUAAAAAUUCCUGACCUACAUCCACACUCUUGGAUGUUCGAUGUGGUGGAUGGUACAAAGAUACCCCAAUCUGAAGCUUGUAUAAUUUUAAGUGGAGCAUGGGCGAUCUGGACUGAACGAAAUGCAAGAAAGCAUGGAGAGUCUGGGCGCUGUAUCAUGCAAUCAGUAAGAUGGGUGAUAGACUCGGUAAUGGACUCAACAAGUGCUGGAAAAGUAAGCAAGCCAAAGCAAUCAAAACAAAUAAAAUGGAAUCCACCUGAUGAAGGCGUGAUGAAGAUUAAUGUAGAUGCAUCCUUUGAUGAUGUUUCUUGUCAAGGUUCGACUGGGCUGGUUAUUCGGGAUAGGGAGGGUGCAUUACUUCAUGCACAAACCCUUUGGUAUAAUUUUGCAGCUAGCUCACAGUCCAUGGAAGCAGAAGCAAUUCGAGAUGGGGUUCGAAUGGCUAUUGAGAGAGGUUUCAGCAAAGUUGAGGUGGAAACUGAUGCUCAAGCUAUUGUUAAGUUGUAG
rnacentral:rRNA from 1 species